rnacentral:misc_RNA from 1 species
UUCAAAACAGUGUUUACGUUUUAAUGUUUCCCAUUAAUGCAUUACCUAAACAACUAAGGAAGCUUAUAAAGAGUAUUGAGUUAAUACGACUUAUUAACUGGAAUAUUAGAAUACGCUGUGAAAGUCUGAGCUAUAAAUAAUGUGGCGACUAGACCUUCCACCUUAUAUUACUUUGAAUACAUUUUCCUCUUAUUAUGUUUUUGGAUAUAAAUUAAAAGUGAUUUAUUCGGCUCCUAUGGUCCGUUGGCUACUUUUUAUCAUUUGAAAGGGCUACAGUAUAUCAUGUGGAUGUAGCCUUAAUUGUCUCGGAC